CUGCGAGGACAGGAUCUGGCAUCCUAGCCAUCCUGCCAGCUGUUGAGACUGUGCGCAACAUUCAGCCUCAUGAAACAGGAGGCUCAGGUAGCCCCUCCCCGCCAGCACCCGGUGUCCCUCAUAGCCCGGACACUGCAGACCCAGGGGCGCUUCGACUCGGGAAGCAGCUGCUGCCUGGUCCACCCGGGGAAGAUGGAGAACAGGCUGACAUGCUUCCUGUUGUCCCAGCGCCCCUGAGGAUUGCAGCUGAGUGAGCACCCACCCCACAAUGUCCCGAGCCCACCCUCCUCCACAGUUGCCAAGAGCUGGGAGACACUGCUGUGAACGGACACCUGGUGCCAGCCCCCAGCCUGGCGAAGGACAGGUGCACAGAGGCCUGGCACCGGGAGUGCGGGGCCUCAGCUCGUCUCCCGGGAGGUCAGGCGAGUCCGAACCCCUGCCUUGGGCAAGCGCGCAGGGCCGGAGAGGGAGAGGGGCUGGCCCACCCCGUGGUGAAGGACAGGAGGCUGAAACCGGGUCUUCCCGGCACCAGACGGCUUCUCAGGAGGACGGCGGGAGAGCAGCUGUGGGGUAGGUCGUGGGGAAAGAGCCUCGGCCACCCAGGGAGCCCCGAGGCCCAGGGGGGCCGCUGUGCAGGCUCGUCCUGUGGGCCCAGCCAGGGGACGCUCUGGAGACCAGCUCCUCUGAGUUGCCCGUGUGGCACACACCCUGGGCCCGUCUGCACAGAGGGGCCCUGCCACCUGCCACCCCAGCAUCGGCCCUGCCUCAGCUCCACUCCUGCCUCCCCGUGGAAGGCAGCUGGGGACCAGUUUCUCCUGUGACUGUGGCACACACCCACAGAUUGUCACUGGGACUUGACCCCAGUGGGUUUGGCCCUAGGUCCUACUCACUUCCCAGCCCGACUCUCCUCUCACACGGCCAGGCAGUGCCACGGUGCUCUCCGUGCCACUGACAUUUAUUGGGCUGUCACCCCACACAAGUGGCUCCUCUCACUCUCCAGGGCACUAAAGCCCCUACCCCAGAGGCCACCGGGAACCCCAGAGCAUCCUGGGCUGCAGCCUUGGACCAGGGGGAUCAGGCAGUGGACCCUUCUUCCUGGAAGCCACACUGACACACACACAGCAGCAGCUCAAAAGCUCAGACUUGAGAACAAAUCUUUUAGUAGCUUUUGGUAGCAAACAGGCAGCUCUGCGGCAAAGCUGGAGGGCCAAGAGCCACUGUGCUCCUCAAUGCACCCUCUGGGCCGCGGUUUCCACACCUGUGAAAUGUACCCAUUUCAUAGAUGGGGAAGUUAAGGCACACAAGGUUCAAGUGACUUCCGCAAGUUCUCAUAGCAGUGUGGCCCUUUCUCACGGGCCUAUGUCUGCCCACAUCUGCCCUUUGCUGUCUGCCCCAGGCCCCUCUGCCCCACGGCCUCCCCCAGAACCUGAACCCCAAGCCCUGUAGUUCCUGCCCUUCUUCUAGCAGGAAACUAGCAACAGAAAGGCCAAAGGCCACAGGACAAGGACGGCAGGGUCCAGACUGGUCUUUAACAAGUCUGGAGAGUCCCAUGGCCCUGCAAGGACAGUGCCUGGAGCGGUGCCUCAGUGAACAGCCAGAUGAUGCGGGUCCUGGCGAACUUCUCGCUGGCAGCAAGGUCUGAGGGGCCGCCAGGCUCCAGGCCCCCCGCCUGUUCUCCACGCCACACCCAAAGGUAGGUUGAAGAGAAGGGACCUGACAGAAGCUGAGCCUCCAGCACCCCUGGGGACCUAACAGGACCUGGAGGAAGGGCCUGGCCCUCUGCCGGGACAGCCACAUCCUCAGGCUUGGAGCACCCUUCCGUCCCAACCAUGAGAGGGGCCACGGCCACUUCAGGGGAAGAAAGACGCUUUUCCUGGUCCUGGCAAGAGGCCCAUCCCACAGACGCCAAGGAAGGGUCUAGCAGGGAAGCAAAGACUGAUAAUGCAAGACAAAGGAGAGCAGACCACUGCCAGAGCGGACAGCCAGGCUGUAAGCGGAGGCGCUGACUGUGGAAUCUCACUACCGGUGGAAGGGCAGCACCCGUGAAUACAUACGAACCAAGGAAGCAAAACCGAAAAGGGACCGGUGAAGUGAGCCGAUCUCCACUGCUCUGAGCGGGAGGCGUGCGAGUGGCCGGGCGGGCCAGUCAGAUGACGUGGCAGCAGCUGGCCUGGCUGGAGGCGCACAGCAGCCCCUCCUUAGGGUUCCGCUGGAUGUUCACAGAGAUGGUCUUUUCACACAGAGACACUUCCGCCCACUCGCCGUGGGUUUUAAGCCUGUAGGCGGCACCGUAGACAGUGCUGGUCCAGCCAACUCAGGGAGGUCAUCUUUCUUAGCUGAGUCACACAGGCCUUUGCUCCUGUGGCCAUUGAGGACAUUGUCGGCAGCCCGAGCAGGAGACUGAGGGACAGUCGCGUGGGACAAAGGAGUGGCCGUGAGGUCAUCCUCAAGGUCCUGGGAAUUAUCUGGCCGGAGUCGAUAUCAGAUGCCUGCCCCUCUACCUGGCUCCCCCUGGAGAGUUCUGUGUCCCCGGCUCUCCACGACAGGCUGGGGGAAGAGUCUCUGCGGUCUGCAGACGAGCCCCAAAGCAGUCACAAGAGCUGUAGAUGUGAAAUAAAUCUAAAUGCCUGUGCCCCUCUCUCAGACCUCAUAUUCUUCCAUACAAAAAUGUAUCAGGGCAGCCCUACAUUUAUUCAUAUUUUUAAGAAAGUAAAAAGCUA